AAUUUAUUAUAUUAUUUUGUUUUGUUUAUUUCAUAAUUUAAUAUAAAUAACUUUAUUUUAUUUUAGGCUUAGUAUAUUUUAAUGAAUUGAUCAUUAUUAUUAUAGUUUAUUAGUAAUGUAAUUGGAUUAUGAAAUAUUAAUUUAAAUUAAUAAUAGUAGAUUUUGUUAAAUGUACCUUUUGUAUCAGGGUUUAUCAAUAUUUUAGUAUUUAUUUACUAUUCUCGAUUUAGGUUGAUUUACAAACAAAUUUUAGUUAAUUUAUGAUAAUUAUUAUUAAUUUGUUUGUAGAAAUGAGAUGUUAUUCGUUUCCUAAGAUAUCUAGUUUCUUAAGAAAAAUUAAUUUUUUAAAUUAAUUAUUUUAAUUUUUUAAUUAAAAUAUUAAAUUAUUUAUUUUUAGGGGAUAAGCUCUGAAAUUAAUAUCCUAUAAUUUAUUUAAUUUUGAAUAUAAUAAUAAGCUUUAAAUCAGCUAUUUUUAAGAUUACGUUUUAGUUCAUUAUUUUUAUUAUUGUUUUAUAAUUAUUUUAGGUUUUUUAUUAAGAUGAUGGAUUUAAUAUUUAAAUUUAUGCAAUAUUGAUGGAAUUAGUAUAUUUAUUUUGUUUAUUAUAUUUUUGAUUAUUAAUUGAUUAUAAGGAACUAGGCAAAUUAGUUUCCGCCUGUUUAUCAAGAACACGUCCUCUUGAUAAUAUUUUGAGAUCUUGCCUGCUCACUGAAAUUCUUUGAAGAGCCACAGUAUUUUGACCGUGCAAAGGUCGCAUAAACAUUAGAGUCUUAAUUAGAGGCUGCAAUGAAUGGCUAGACAAAAAUUAACUGUCUUAAUAAAUUUUAAAAUUUAACUUUUUAGUUAAAAGGCUUACUUUUUUCUUUAGGACGAGAAGACCCUAUAGAGCUUAACAAUUUAAUUAUAUAUUUGUAAGAUAGUCUUUUUAUAUUUGUAGGUAAUGUUUUGUUGGGGUGACAUGAAGAAUUAAUAUACCUGUUAUUAUAAAAUCAUUAACGUAUGUUCAUUUCAAUCCAUAAUUUAUGAUCAUAAGAUAAAGUUACCUUAGGGAUAACAGCGUAAUUGUUUUUGAUAGCUCAGAAUGACAAAACAGAUUGCGACCUCGAUGUUGGAUUAAGAAAAGUUUAGUGUGCAGUAGCCCAAUGAUUAGGUCUGUUCGACCUUUAAAUUCUUACAUGAUCUGAGUUCAGACUGACGUGAGCCAGGUCGUUAUCUAUCCUGAGAUUAAAGAAAUUCAUAUUAGUACGAAAGGACCAUAUGUAUAAAUUUUUUGUUUAAAAUUAAUUAUG
rnacentral:rRNA from 1 species